CCUACGGGCGGCUGCAGUGGGGAAUUUUGGACAAUGGGGGAAACCCUGAUCCAGCCAUGCCGCGUGAGUGAAGAAGGCCUUCGGGUUGUAAAGCUCUUUCAGCAGGAACGAAACGGUAAGCUUUAAUAAAGUUUGCUAAUGACGGUACCUGAAGAAGAAGCACCGGCUAACUACGUGCCAGCAGCCGCGGUAAUACGUAGGGUGCGAGCGUUAAUCGGAAUUACUGGGCGUAAAGCGUGCGCAGGCGGUUUUGUAAGACAGAUGUGAAAUCCCCGGGCUUAACCUGGGAACUGCGUUUGUGACUGCAAGACUAGAGUGUGGCAGAGGGGGGUAGAAUUCCACGUGUAGCAGUGAAAUGCGUAGAGAUGUGGAGGAAUACCGAUGGCGAAGGCAGCCCCCUGGGUCAACACUGACGCUCAUGCACGAAAGCGUGGGGAGCAAACAGGAUUAGAUACCCCAGUAGUC
rnacentral:rRNA from 1 species